CCUACGGGUGGCAGCAGUGGGGAAUAUUGCACAAUGGGGGAAACCCUGAUGCAGCGACGCCGCGUGAGUGAAGAAGUAUUUCGGUAUGUAAAGCUCUAUCAGCAGGGAAGAAAAUGACGGUACCUGAUGAAGAAGCCACGGCUAACUACGUGACAGCAGCCGCGGUAAUACGUAGGGGGCAAGCGUUAUCCGGAUUUACUGGGGGUAAAGGGAGCGUAGUCGGCAGCACAAGGUUGGUGUGAAAUGCCGGGGCUUAACCCCGGAACUGCUUUGGAAACUGUGCAGCUUGAGUGCAGGAGAGGUAAGUGGAAUUCCUGGUGUAGCGGUGAAAUGCGUAGAUAUUAGGAGGAACACCAGUGGCGAAGGCAGCUUACUGGACUGUAACUGACGUUGAGGCUCGAAAGCGUGGGGAGCAAACAGGAUUAGAUACCCGGGUAGUC
rnacentral:rRNA from 1 species